AGAGCACAGGGCUGCAACCAGGACAACUGCAGCUCCACCUGCACUCCCCCCCCACCCCCAACCACUGAACGGCUGCACAGCUACAGGCAGAUCACCGAGCCUCCCUGGACCCCCAUCUCCUCAUUCUUCAAGUGAAGGGGCUGAACACAACGACUCCUGUGAUGGUUAAUUUUAUGGGUCAACUUGGCUAGGCCACAGAGCUCAGGUUAAAUCCUCUGCUGAGUGAGAGAUGGUGAGAGGCGAGACCUCACCUCCCCCAAGAGCAGGCAAGGGAGCCAGUGGAUCCUCCCUGAAGUCACGAUCACAUGACCUGGCCUCACCCAAUCAGAAACCUCCACCCAAGAAUAAAAAGCUGGAGGGAAGAAAGCAAAGAAAAUUUUCCCUCCUCUUCACUGGCUGCAUCUGGGAAUCCUUAGGAAGUAUGAGAAAAUAAACCAUCCCAAACUCUGAGAAAUCACUAGGAUUCAACAUCCUCCAAGCAAUAAGUUGACAGCCAGGUGAAAGAGUGACUUGGACAUGACUCCCGGCCAGAGGAGAAGACAAGGGAAGGGAGGAGCAGAACCUGCAAGGUGAUGCGGGGGGAAGAGCAUAGGGAUCUGAGAACCUGAGGAGGCACAUCAGUAGAGCUUGUAAGAGUCCCAUGCUUUACAGAAGCCAGCUGAGAUGAUAAAUUUGGGUCCAUUUUCCAAAAAUCACUCUGGCGUUCCCUUUGACCCAGUAGUUCCAUGUCUAAGCACCUAGCUUAACAAAGCAAUCAGAUACGGUCAAUGAUGUACACAUAAGAAGAGUCAUGUUAAUGCGAUGUAUAACUAGAAAAAAUUGGAAGCAACUUCAUGUCCAGUACUAAGGAAAUAGCUGAGUAACUCAUCAAUACAAUAUCUCAUCAAUACAGUGGAGUAUUAGGCACACAUUAAAAACAUUCACAAAGGGGUCCUAAAGCGAUGGGAAAAUGUGCGGACAUAACGUUAUUCAGAAAAGACGCAUGAAAGGAGCCUCUCUUCAAUAAACAGUCUGAGCGAAACUGGACAGCCACAUGCAGAAGAAUGAAACUGGACCACUACCUUCUACCAUACAGGCAAAGCAAUUCAAAAUGGGCGAAACACUUAAAUGUAAGACCUGGAGCCAUAAAACUCCCAGAAAGAAAACCUAAGUGGUGAGCUCCUUGACCUCAAUCUUGCUCAUGGUCUUUAGGAUUUGACACCCAAAGCCCAGGCAACAAAAGGAAAAAUAAACAAGUGGGACUACAUUACACUAACAAGCUUCUGCACAGCAAAGGAAGCCAUCAACAAAAUGAAAAGGCGACUUACCAGAGGGGAGAAAAUAUUUGCAAAUCAUAUAUCUGAUAAGGAGUUAAUAUCCCAAAUAUAGAAAGAAUACACAUAGGUCAAUAGCAAAAAUGAACAAUCCCAUUAAAAACUGGGCAAAGGAUCUGAAGAGACAUUUUCCAAAGACAUACGGAUGACCAACAGAAGCAUGAAAAGAUGCUCCAUAUCACCAAUUGCCAGGGAAAUGAAAACCAAAACAGCAGUGAGAUCAUCUCAUAUCUGUUAGAACGGCUAUUAUCAAAAAGUCGAGGCGCUCCUGCUGCAGCACAACAGGAUCAGCAGCAUCUUGGAAACACUGGGACGUGGGUUUGAUCCCUGGCAAGGUACAGUGUGUUGGGGAUACAGCGUUACCGCAGUUGCAGCUUAGGGCUCAACGGCAGCUCUGAUCUGAUCCCUGGCCCAGGAGCUCCAGAUGCCACGGGGUGGCCAAAAA
ensembl:lncRNA